AAGCCUUUGCGGCAUGGGAUGGGGUCGCGUCCUAUCAGCUUGAUGGCGGGGUAACGGCCCACCAUGGCUUCGACGGGUAGCCGGCCUGAGAGGGCGACCGGCCACAUUGGGACUGAGAUACGGCCCAGACUCCUACGGGAGGCAGCAGUGGGGAAUAUUGCACAAUGGGCGCAAGCCUGAUGCAGCGACGCCGCGUGAGGGAUGGAGGCCUUCGGGUUGUAAACCUCUUUUGUUAGGGAGCAAGGCACUUUGUGUUGAGUGUACCUUUCGAAUAAGCACCGGCUAACUACGUGCCAGCAGCCGCGGUAAUACGUAGGGUGCAAGCGUUAUCCGGAAUUAUUGGGCGUAAAGGGCUCGUAGGCGGUUCGUCGCGUCCGGUGUGAAAGUCCAUCGCUUAACGGUGGAUCCGCGCCGGGUACGGGCGGGCUUGAGUGCGGUAGGGGAGACUGGAAUUCCCGGUG
rnacentral:rRNA from 1 species